AGUGAACGCUGGCGGUAGGCCUAACACAUGCAAGUCGAACGGCAGCACAGUAAGAGCUUGCUCUUACGGGUGGCGAGUGGCGGACGGGUGAGGAAUACAUCGGAAUCUACUUUUUCGUGGGGGAUAACGUAGGGAAACUUACGCUAAUACCGCAUACGACCUACGGGUGAAAGCAGGGGAUCUUCGGACCUUGCGCGAUUGAAUGAGCCGAUGUCGGAUUAGCUAGUUGGCGGGGUAAAGGCCCACCAAGGCGACGAUCCGUAGCUGGACUGAGAGGAUGAUCAGCCACAAUGGAACUGAGACAAGGUCCAGACUACUAAGGGAGGCAGCAGUGGGGAAUAUUGGACAAUGGGCGCAAGCCUGAUCCAGCCAUACCGCGUGGGUGAAGAAGGCCUUCGGGUUGUAAAGCCCUUUUGUUGGGAAAGAAAAGCAGCAGGUUAAUACCCCGCAGUUCUGACGGUACCCAAAGAAUAAGCACCGGCUAACUUAGUG
rnacentral:rRNA from 1 species